UGAACGCUGGCGGCGUGCCUAAUACAUGCAAGUCGAGCGAACAGACGAGGAGCUUGCUCCUCUGACGUUAGCGGCGGACGGGUGAGUAACACGUGGAUAACCUACCUAUAAGACUGGGAUAACUUCGGGAAACCGGAGCUAAUACCGGAUAAUAUAUUGAACCGCAUGGUUCAAUAGUGAAAGACGGUUUUGCUGUCACUUAUAGAUGGAUCCGCGCCGCAUUAGCUAGUUGGUAAGGUAACGGCUUACCAAGGCAACGAUGCGUAGCCGACCUGAGAGGGUGAUAGGCCACACUGGAACUGAGACACGGUCCAGACUCCUACGGGAGGCAGCAGUAGGGAAUCUUCCGCAAUGGGCGAAAGCCUGACGGAGCAACGCCGCGUGAGUGAUGAAGGUCUUCGGAUCGUAAAACUCUGUUAUUAGGGAAGAACAAAUGUGUAAGUAACUAUGCACGUCUUGACGGUACCUAAUCAGAAAGCCACGGCUAACUACGUG
rnacentral:rRNA from 1 species